UACAGAGGGGCCAAGCGUUAGGCGGAAUCACUGGGCUUAAAGCGUGUGUAGGCGGGUCGUUAAGUACCUUGUGAAAUCCCACGGCUCAACCGUGGAACUGCUCGGUAUACUGGCGAUCUUGAGCCACUUAGGGGCUACCGGAACAAAUGGUGGAGCGGUGAAAUGCGUAGAUAUCAGGAGGAACACCGAUGGCGAAGGCAGGUCUCUGGGCCGCUACUGACGCUGAGAAGCGAAAGCAUGGGGAGCGAACAGG
rnacentral:rRNA from 1 species